GAUGAACGCUGGCGGCGUGCCUAAUACAUGCAAGUCGAGCGAACAGACGAGGAGCUUGUUCCUCUGACGUUAGCGGCGGACGGGUGAGUAACACGUGGAUAACCUACCUAUAAGACUGGGAUAACUUCGGGAAACCGGAGCUAAUACCGGAUAAUAUAUUGAACCGCAUGGUUCCAUAGUGAAAGAUGGUUUUGCUGUCACUUAUAGCUGGAUCCGCGCCGCAUUAGCUAGUUGGUAAGGUAACGGCUUACCAAGGCAACGAUGCGUAGCCGACCUGAGAGGGUGAUCGGCCACACUGGAACUGAGACACGGUCCAGACUCCUACGGGAGGCAGCAGUAGGGAAUCUUCCGCAAUGGGCGAAAUCUUGACGGAGCAACGCCGCGUGAGUGAUGAAGGUCUUCGGAUCGUAAGACUCUGUUAUUAGGGAAGAACAAUUGUGUAAGUAACUAUGCACGUCUUGACGGUACCUAAUCAGAAAGCCACGGCUAACUACGUG
rnacentral:rRNA from 1 species